rnacentral:rRNA from 1 species
UACGUAGGGUGCGAGCGUUGUCCGGAAUUAUUGGGCGUAAAGAGCUUGUAGGCGGUUUGUCGCGUCUGCCGUGAAAUUUCGAGGCUCAACCUCGAACUUGCGGUGGGUGACGGGCAGACUAGAGUGUGGUAGGGGAGACUGGAAUUCCUGGUGUAGCGGUGAAAUGCGCAGAUAUCAGGAGGAACACCGAUGGCGAAGGCGGGUCUCUGGGCCGUAACUGACGCUGAGGAGCGAAAGCAUGGGGAGCGAACAGG